UACGAAGGGGGCUAGCGUUGUUCGGAAUUACUGGGCGUAAAGCGCGCGCAGGCGGUUUUUCAAGUCAGUGGUGAAAGCCCGGAGCUCAACUCCAGAACUGCCCUUGAUACUGGCGGUCUCGAGUCCGGGAGAGGUGAGUGGAACUGCGAGUGUAGAGGUGAAAAUUCGUAGAUAUUCGCAAGAACACCAGUGGCGAAGGCGGCUCACUGGCCCGGUACUGACGCUGAGGUGCGAAAGCGAUGGGGAGCAAACAGGGGAUUAAGAUGUCCCGGGUAGUCCGAGAAGCCAAC
rnacentral:rRNA from 1 species